CCUACGGGGUGCAGCAGUGGGGAAUAUUGGACAAUGGGCGAAAGCCUGAUCCAGCCAUGCCGCGUGUGUGAAGAAGGCCUUCGGGUUGUAAAGCACUUUCAGUGGGGAAGAAAGCCUUGGGGCUAAUACCCUCGAGGAAGGACAUCACCCACAGAAGAAGCACCGGCUAACUCCGUGCCAGCAGCCGCGGUAAUACGGAGGGUGCGAGCGUUAAUCGGAAUUACUGGGCGUAAAGCGCGCGUAGGCGGUCUGAUAAGCCGGUUGUGAAAGCCCCGGGCUCAACCUGGGAACGGCAUCCGGAACUGUCAGGCUAGAGUGCAGGAGAGGAAGGUAGAAUUCCCGGUGUAGCGGUGAAAUGCGUAGAGAUCGGGAGGAAUACCAGUGGCGAAGGCGGCCUUCUGGACUGACACUGACGCUGAGGUGCGAAAGCGUGGGUAGCAAACAGGAUUAGAACCCGAGUAGUC
rnacentral:rRNA from 1 species